GGCGGUUUGUUAAGUCAGAUGUGAAAGCCCGGGGCUCAACCUCGGAACCGCAUUUGAAACUGGCAGGCUAGAGUCUUGUAGAGGGGGGUAGAAUUUCAGGUGUAGCGGUGAAAUGCGUAGAGAUCUGAAGGAAUACCAGUGGCGAAGGCGGCCCCCUGGACAAAGACUGACGCUCAGAUGCGAAAGCGUGGGUAGCAAACAGGAUUAGAUACCCUGGUAGUCCACGCCGUAAACGCUGUCUACUUGGAGGUUGAGGUUUAAGACUUUGGCUUUCGGCGCUAACGCAUUAAGUAGACCGCCUGGGGAGUACGGCCGCAAGGUUAAAACUCAAAUGAAUUGACGGGGGCCCGCACAAGCGGUGGAGCAUGUGGUUUAAUUCGAUGCAACGCGAAGAACCUUACCUACUCUUGACAUCCAGAGAACUUUCCAGAGAUGGAUUGGUGCCUUCGGGAACUCUGAGACAGGUGCUGCAUGGCUGUCGUCAGCUCGUGUUGUGAAAUGUUGGGUUAAGUCCCGCAACGAGCGCAACCCUUAUCCUUGUUUGCCAGCACGUAAUGGUGGGAACUCCAGGGAGACUGCCGGUGAUAAACCGGAGGAAGGUGGGGACGACGUCAAGUCAUCAUGGCCCUUACGAGUAGGGCUACACACGUGCUACAAUGGCAGAUACAGAGGGCAGCGAAGCUGCGAAGUGGAGCGAAUCCCUUAAAGUUUGUCGUAGUCCGGAUUGGAGUCUGCA
rnacentral:rRNA from 1 species